rnacentral:rRNA from 1 species
AACGAACGCUGGCGGCAGGCUUAACACAUGCAAGUCGAACGGUUGUAGCAAUACAGCAGUGGCAGACGGGUGAGUAACACGUGGGAACCUUCCUAGGGGUACGGAACAACUCAGGGAAACUUGAGCUAAUACCGUAUACGUCCGUGAGGAGAAAGAUUUAUCGCCCUUAGACGGGCCCGCGUAGGAUUAGGUAGUUGGUGGGGUAAUGGCCUACCAAGCCUACGAUCCUUAGCUGAUCUGAGAGGAUGAUCAGCCACACUGGGACUGAGACACGGCCCAGACUCCUACGGGAGGCAGCAGUGGGGAAUCUUGGACAAUGGGCGCAAGCCUGAUCCAGCCAUGCCGCGUGAGUGAAGAAGGCCUGGUUGUAAGUAC